rnacentral:rRNA from 1 species
GGGCCCGCACAAGCGGCGGAGCAUGCGGAUUAAUUCGAUGCAACGCGAAGAACCUUACCAAGGCUUGACAUAUAGAGGAAAAGUGCAGAAAUGCACUCCCCGCAAGGUCUCUAUACAGGUGGUGCAUGGUUGUCGUCAGCUCGUGUCGUGAGAUGUUGGGUUAAGUCCCGCAACGAGCGCAACCCUCGUCCUAUGUUGCCAGCACGUAAUGGUGGGAACUCAUGGGAUACUGCCGGGGUCAACUCGGAGGAAGGUGGGGAUGACGUCAAAUCAUCAUGCCCCUUAUGUCUUGGGCUUCACGCAUGCUACAAUGGCCGGUACAGAGGGCUGCAAUACCGCAAGGUGGAGCGAAUCCCAAAAAGCUGUCUCAGUUCGGAUUGGGGUCUGCAACUCGACCCCAUG